rnacentral:lncRNA from 1 species
GGUGCGGCGCUAAAAAGGCAAAAAAAAAAAAGAACUUCCAAACAUUUGCAUGGAAACUCAAAGGACCCUCAAAUAGCCAAAAAAAUCUAAAGAAAGAAGAACAAACUGGAUGUAUCACACAUUCGGAUCUAAUAAUAUAUAUGUGUGUGUGUGUGUGUUUUCUUUUUAGGGUCACACCCACAGCAUAUGGAGGUUCCCAGGCUAGGGGUCUAGUGGGAGCUACAACUGCCAGCAACACCACAGCCACAGCAACACCAGAUCCAAGCCGCACCUGCGACCUACACCACAGCUCAUGGCAACGCUGGAUCCUUAACCCAUUGAGCGAGGCCAGGGAUUGAACCCGCCACCUCAUGGUUCUUAGUCGGAUUUGUUUCCACUGAGCCAUGAUGGGAGUUCCAUGAUCUAAUAAUAUAUUAUAAAGCAGUAGUAACUAAGCAGUUAUUAAACAGUACGGUACUGACAUAAAGCAGACAUAGACAUCAAUGGAACAGAAUAAAGACCCAGAAAUAAGCCCUCAUGUAUAUGGUCAAAUGACCUUCAACAAGGGUGCCAAGACUACCCAGUGAAGGAAGGACAGUCUCUUCAACAAACGGUGUUAGAGGAGUUCCCACUGUGGCACAAUGGAAUCUGCGACAUCUCUGCAAUGCUGUGACUCAGGUUCAAUCCCCAGCCUGGGACAGUGGGUUAAGGAUCCCCUGAUGUCCUCAAAGUUUGUCCAUGUAGCACAUUGCAGAUGUUCCUUCUUUUUUAAGGCUGCGUAAUAUUCCACUGUGUGUAUAGACCACAGUUUGCUCAGCCAUUCAUCCAUCAGUGAACACGGGUUGCUUCUGUGUUUGAGCUCCUGUGAAAAAUGCUUUUGCGACCAUGGGGUCCCUUGAAGAUCCUGCUUUCGAUUCUUUUUAGUCUAGACCCAGAAAUGUAAUUGCUGGGUCAUAAGAUAAUUCUGUUUUUACCUUUUUCAAGACCUGUCCUCAUUCCUUUUAUGGUUCCAAAGCACCCGUUAUGUGGCUGUCUCUUGUUUAUUCUGCUGGGCCUUACUGAUGGCCAUUUGGCUUUCUUUUCAGGCUUAGACUAUUCCAAACAGAGCUGCAGCAAAUAGCCUUGUCCCUGCAUUUUUUGUUUUUUGGGUUUUUUUUUCCUUUUGUUUUGUUUUUUGGUAUUCUUUGCGGUGAAUCUUUGAGAGAUUCCUAGAGGUGGGAAUACAGGCUCAAAGGGCAAAUAUGCAUGUAGUUUGCUAGGCAUUGCCAAAUUCCCUUCCACAGGGAUGGUACCAAUUCGUGUUCCCAUCAGCAAAGUGUGAGAGUGUCUGUUUGCUCACAGCCUGAACAAGAGAGUAUUUUGUUAAAUACUUGGACUUUUGCCAAGCUGUACUGGAAGAAAUAGUUCCUUGAGGCAAUUUGCAUUUUGUUAACUGCAAACAGAGUUGAGCGUCUUUUCAUAUAGUUUUGAAAUACUGACCUUUCUUUUUCGAUAAACUGUUCGUAUUUUUAGUGCAUUUUUUCUCACAGAUUCUUGGCCUUUUAAUUUAUAUUAGAAUCACUUUAUAUUCUAAGAAUAUUAAGUCUGUUGUGAUAAAUUGUGAAUCUUAUUUUGUAACCAGUCUUUCAUUUGUCUUUUUAAAUUUUAUUUAUCAUUUUUGUUUUUGUUUUUUUGCCUGGGAACCUCCAUAUGCUGCAGAAGCAGCCCAAGAAAUGGCAAAAAAAAAAAGAGAGAGAGAGAGAGAGAGAGAGAGAAACCAUCCAGAGACUCCAUGAAAUGAAGCCAAGGAGACAUCGCCUGGUGCCUAAAUGAAUCUCUCUCCCCCUCCAUGUAAUGAUCAUGAUAUUUCCACAGAGAAAACAAGCCUACGGAAUCAGAUCUCACAGUCCUGAUGUCUGGAGUUAAUUCAGGGGUGUCAGCCAGAGGGACCAGAGAGCGACACAGGGGCUCUAGGGCCCUAAGCCCUGGCCAAAAGGACUGUUUUGAUUUGUAAGUUUUCAACAGGUUUGUGUGUCCAAAGAGAAGGAAGUUGAUGCCUUUGCACCCGAACGGGAAGCGUCAUCAUCCGCAUCCUUGGCACCUGGAAGUCCAAGGUCAGUACAGGGCGUGAUCCGCACGUCCGACUUCACACGGCACUCAAAUGUGAACACAAGGCUGUGUUCUGUCCUGAAAGCUUUGGGUCACUAACCCAGCUUUGCCACUCGGUGUAAACCUGAACAAACUUCAUGCCGAUAGGAGUUCCCGUUGCAGCUCAGGGCGUUAAGAACCCAACUGGUAUCCAUGAGAAUGUAGGUUCAAUCCCUGGCCUCACUCAGUGGGGUAAGGAUCCGACGAUGGUAUAAGCUGCAGCAUAGGUCACAGACGCGGCUUGGAUCUGGCAUUGCCGUGGCUGUGGUGUAGACCAGCAGCUACAUCUCUGAUUCGAUCCCUAGCCUGGGAACUUCCACAUGCUGCAGGUGCGGC